UACAGAGGGUGCAAGCGUUGUUCGGAAUUAUUGGGCGUAAAGGGCGCGUAGGCGGUCCGACAAGUCAGGGGUGAAAUCCUGCAGCUUAACUGCAGAAGUGCCUCUGAUACUGUCGGUCUUGAGGGAGAUAGGGGUGUGCGGAACUUCCAGUGGAGCGGUGAAAUGCGUUGAUAUUGGAAGGAACGCCGGAGGCGAAAGCGGCGCACUGGAUCUCUUCUGACGCUGAGGCGCGAAAGCUAGGGGAGCAAACGGG
rnacentral:rRNA from 1 species